UUCUUGUUGGAUUCCAGCUGGUCGAAGAUGUCAGCCACCCCUCCUGGAGCAAUUGGGAGCCCAGGCAACGGAACUGACCUUUCACCAUGAUGGCAAGACGGCUGCACAGUGCCUCACACUCCUCCAUGCUGAGAUAUGGAGACAAAGAGAGAAAGAUAAAAGGUCACACUUCCAUCCUUUGAGCAUACGGUGGCGCUUGGUGCGAGGGUCCAUGCCGGAGCUUGGCUCAUCCUGUGGAGGGAGCAGAAAUGAGAAGAGGGGAGCAGGAUGUGUGAAAGAAAGAGUGGAAGGUUGAAAUCAAGGAGAGGUCAGGGGAAAACAGGGAGUUAAUUGAGGAAGGCUGCGUGUUGCAAACAGUGUGUGGUUACAUACAGUAGUAGGGGGGGAAAACAAGGGUAGGAACACAAAAGAGUAAACAUAAAUGCACAAUUGCA